CAAUUUCAUGGGCUGCAACCAGC
rnacentral:piRNA from 1 species